rnacentral:lncRNA from 1 species
UGUGUGAGAGAGAGAGAGAGAGAGAGAGAGAGAGAGNNNNNNNNNNNNNNNNNNNNUUAGUAGUAGAGAGAGAGAGAGAGAGAGAGAGAGAGAGAGAGAUGGGGGGUUGCUACUGUUACUGAAUUGAAGCAGAGUGUUUCAGGGAAAAGAACAUUUCGAUCAAGUUUAAGCACCCGGCAUGCCGUCGAAUGGUAACACUAUCUUCUUCUUCUGAACUUCUUCUGAAAUUAAUAGCCUUCCAAGUACUAAAUAUUGAGUUUUCUAUUCAUUUUCCCAUAAUUGAGUUGUUUGUUCUGGUAUGUAAUUUAGUUAGCAUCCCAGGUGUAAUUUGUUCCAUGGACUUGUUUACAUUGAGAAAGGCUGUUAGAGGGAAUUUCUAUUCCAUGAUCUCUUUAUUCUUUCAGGGAAAUAGUUCUCUCUUUUCUUUAUUUUUCUUUUUUUAAAAAAGGUGACAGUCCUAUCCAUAAAUUGUGUGAUGAGAUGUUUGUGUGUGUGUGUGUGUUUCUGUCUGUCUUAAUGCAAAUAUUACGAAUAUUUAUAUUAAGAUAUGUAUAACAGUGAGGAAACAUUGCAGUCCCAGGUAAAUAAAUCAAUAUAAAAAAGUUCAAUUGCUAUCAGAGAUUUAUUAGAAAUUACUAUGUGAUCUGAUAUCUCAGCCAACUAAUAUAUUGUGUUUCAUCUCCUAAGCCAUCCGCCAAAGGGUUAAAAAGUACGAGUUGCAUGCUACAUCUCAUGGAGUACAUUCAGUGAUUUGAAUCUUCUAGCACUUCCAGAUACUUAUUAGAAGAGAGAGAGAGAGAGCAGAAAAAAUGACACUAAUUAGACAGAUAUUAAUCAAAAGGAAGAAGCCAAUCAUUAC